rnacentral:rRNA from 1 species
CCUACGGGAGGCAGCAGUAGGGAAUAUUGCUCAAUGGGGGAAACCCUGAAGCAGCCACGCCGCGUGGAGGAUGAAGGUUUUCGGAUUGUAAACUACUUUUGUUAGGGAAGAUAAUGACGGUAUCUAACGAAUAAGCACCGGCUAACUCCGUGCCAGCAGCCGCGGUAAUACGGAGGGUGCAAGCGUUACUCGGAAUGACUGGGCGUAAAGCGCGCGUAGGCGGGAUGGCAAGUCAGAUGUGAAAUCCUAUGGCUUAACCAUAGAACUGCAGUUGAAACUGUUAUUCUAGAGUAUGGGAGAGGUAGGUGGAAUUCGUGGUGUAGGGGUAAAAUCCGUAGAGAUCAAGAGGAAUACUCAUUGCGAAGGCGACCUGCUAGAACAUAACUGACGCUGAUGCGCGAAAGCGUGGGGAGCAAACAGGAUUAGAUACCCGGGUAGUA